AGGUAGCAGUUACAGUAAAAUGACUGCCGACAGUGACAUGUAAUCAUAGGAUAGAAAGAGGACCUGCCCUCCUCAUCAGAAUUUUACUUGCUCUGACCAGUUUGUGCUGUUUUGUAAACAAGCAAAUGUACCUGUGUAUGGGUUUGGGUGCAGGACAAUCAAGAACUAACCUGGUCACCACCUGGAAAGCUCUGUGUGAAUUGUUUAUGUUGGCUCAAAUGACAUUAAAUUGCCCUGAAGGAUGACUUUUAAACACUUCACUUUUUAUCAAGUAAAACUUCAAAUGAAACCCAUAAAAAAAAUCUUGUGGUGCCACACAAGGUCUUCAUGUUGCCACUGUACUGUAGUCAUGUCAUGCCUGUCUUAGCCAAUUUACAUCUGCUCUCAGUUCAUUUCAGUCACUAUUAACAUGUAUUAUCUUUAUUACAUUACCUAGCUUUGUUGUCAUUGUCCAUAAUUAUCUUUUUCUGUUCCUGUGUUCCUGUCUGCUGUCUUUAUUUGUUGUACUUUUUCAUUUACUAUCUUUUUCAUUUUAAGAAGUGUUGUCUAUGUAAAGCAACAAGUCACUACUGUUUUGAAAAGUACUAUAACAAUAAAGUUUGUUAUUAUCAGUAAAUAGCAAUGGGAUACUGUAAUGGAAACACUAGCUAGUCCUGUGGAAUAAUCAUGGGAUUACCAUCAUACUUAAAUUGAAAGCAUUCUGAAUUGUACAUCGGUACAAUGGCAUUUUGAAAAUAACUUGUGUCAGAUAGUUCCACUACAUUCUCCAGAUUCAUGACAACCUCACAGGAAUGCAAGUCCUCCUGAGCUAUUGUUGACAUGUUACUUUAUAGAGGCAGUCACUUUCACCCCUUAAUAAAAACGAUGGCAGUAAUUCUGUUUUAGCCCUUAUCAACAGCAUAGCUGCAAAUAACACUUUAUUUUUUUUACUACAGUAUGUAAUCCUGGAUACACUCCAUCUGUUUACAGUCAUUCCCCCCUGUGCUCACUGACACAUACAGCAGCAGGAGAUAACCUGGGUGAACUGACAGUGUUUUGUCGAUAUCCUUAGUGAUACAGGAUACAGUUCUGGUUAUUGGAUCGCUGAAGCAACAACAGAAAAAGGCCAUGUUGCAUAGUAUCAUACAAGUCAAUUUUCCGCUCUGCCACAGUGCUUCCAGGAAGCUUAUCAUUCCGGACACACAACACUAUUCCGACAACAGCUGUGCGCAUCACCGCUGCUGUGGAGCUUUAUGGCACCACAUGCACACUGUGAAAAUGGAUAGGCUCAUAAAGCUGUAUUGAUCUUGAGACGAUGGCCUUAUAAAUUAUUAACCGUCCUCUCAUACACCCCGAAAUAAUUUCUGUGAAACAAAUACUUUCUUUUUCUCACUUUUUCAAACAGUCAGGUGCACGAACGCGCGCGCGCACACACACACACACAUACACAUACAAACAAAAAACAAAUAAACAAAAAAAGCUUUUGCAGCGACAAAAAUGAAACGGACUAAAAUCUAACCUCGCAUUCUUAAAAUCAAUCCGCGGCUAACGUUAGACGUAGCCUAAUCAAGUGACACUACGUCUACGUAACGGUAAAGUUAGCCUGACGGUUAACUAUAAUGCUCUGUUAAGAAAGUUAGGUGCAGCUAGUUUUAUACCAACGUACUGGCUAUGGUUAGGUACAAUCUACGCGACGUUAACAUACCAUAUACGCUAAAAUGAUAAUUUUGUUGUCGCUAGCUACUGACCUCGAGCAUGUACUUUCCAUCGAGCACGUUAGCGUUGAAACGUUGCUCAUCCUGCUGAGGUGCUGCCGCUGGAGCCAGUGGCAUCAUGUUGACAGAACUACUAAUCCUGAGAAUAUGUCAAACCUGGCUGUCAACAAAGAGAGGACCUCACUCAGAUGACCAGGGCCUGGAGAAGAGUAGAGAUAAAAACGAACUACAGUCCCUCAACUACGUGCAUUCACCCGGACUUACCUCAUCAGUGUACAUCAUGGCAAGAGUAGGUGUCUCUGUUAUUGCAUGUAUUCUGUGUAUGUUGCAAAGAAACACAUCAAUUUCUGGGUAGAGUCUCCCAACCAGAUCAAAGCACUUUCUCUGAUACCUUUGCAAAGCAGAAUAAGCAAUCUCGCAGUACAGCAUGGGUGAACUCCUCACAGAGCCUUAGAAGAGGACCCAGAUUUACUGCUGUGGCCAUAAGCAGCAGGGGGCCCACAGUCACUGAUUUAGCCUGACAGUGUUUGAGAUUAUGAGGCUAAUCCUCUCAACUCAGGUUAUUAGGGUACUUUUAGAGUUGGAUUUAGAGGACUGACUCUUAGCCCAAGGCCUGUAUCAUUUUGACUGACAGCAGUAUUGUCAGACUGAUUAUUCAACUGCCUUCUCUCGUCUCUUCAAUAGUCACUAAACAGUGUAUCAAUGAGCAGUGCCACAAACAGUGUAAAUAGGUGAUUUUAUUUAUACCCAAGUUUUUGAUUUAUUUUCCCGCGGCUGCAGACAGUCCUUUUUCACUCAGUUGCAUUUUGGCAAUAAAGUUAAAAUGGUGGAGGUACUGUCGAUAGCUGUUUUCAGUGGAAAAAAUAAAAGACAUGGAGCUUAGCAUAUAGUAAGUCCUGGAAAGUGGGCAUUAUUUUUUACCAGUUUACUACACUGAUCAAUUUUUUGAUGCUAUGUCACAUCACUGGCCAGUCACCAGCUGAUUGGCUUACUGAAGGAAUGACACCUUCACACCAGUGAUCUAGAUCCAUUCAGUCUAUUCUCAGAAUGCUUUCACUGUUGUGAGAAACACGGUAUGUAUGUUUUGUGUAGAAACUAAAUUGCAAUUCAAAAUGUAGAAAUACAUGUAAUUUAAUCAGCCACUAGAUGGCACAUUCACUUUGUUUUUUCUUUAUUUACAAUAUUUGUUAACGACCUCAUGCCAUUCAAUCAUAUGUGGAGCAGGUCUUGUGUUGUUGACAUGUGGUAGCUACUGUGCAUUGUGCUGAUUUAAUUUAGCACUAAGCUAUACUUCAGGAAUAGAUAAAAAUACAAUACGAUGAGUGAAGGUGAUGAUGAUCUAAUUGAAUAAAUCAUACCAAGAACAACCAAAAACCUACAUUUUGCAGUUUUACCCACCUAAUCUCACUAGAUGGCAAUAGAGAACAUACAAUUACAGUUUUGACUCUCACUCUGUUUCUGUAUAACCUGUUCACAAACACUCUACAAAGUUUUGAACAUCUGUAAUUCACUUUUCCAGUGAAUUAAAACAAAAGCAGAAACUGUC